rnacentral:rRNA from 1 species
GGUAGUAUCGAGGACUACCAAGAUUAUAACGGAUAACGAGGAAUUGGGGUUCGACAUCGGAGAGGGAGCUUUACAGAUGGCUACCACUUCUAAGGAAGGCAGCAGGCGCGUAAAUUACCCACUUUCGAAUUGAAGAGGUAGUGACGACACAUAACUCUAGAGUUGAGUAAAAUCAAUUCUUGAAGGAAUGAGUAGGAGGUAAAUUCUCCUACGAAAUCAAUUGGAGGGCAAGUCUGGUGCCAGCAGCCGCGGUAAUUCCAGCUCCAAUAGUGUAUAUUAAAGUUGCUGUGAUUAAAACGCUCGUAGUUGAAUUAAAAUGUGAUUUUAUACAUUUUGAAGACUUUACAUUAAGUGAAGUUUCUAGAAAUGUUAAAUUAAAAUCAAAGAAGGAGACAAUUCAAGUAAUUGAGUUGUCAUUACUUUGAAUAAAAUAAGGUGUUUAAAGCAAAACAUUAUGUUAAUGAAUAUUCAAGCAUGGGACAAUGCUGAGGAGAUGUCAAUUAGACAUUUCGAGAGAAGGAUUAAAAGGAACAAUUGGGGUGAUUCAGAAAAUAACGGGAGAGGUGAAAAUCCAUGAUCGCUAUAAGAUGCACGAGAGCGAAAGCAUUUCACUCAACUGGGUCCAUUAAUCAAGAACGAAAGUUAGGGGAUCGAAGACGAUCAGAUACCGUCGUAGUCCUAACUAUAAACGAUGUCAACCAAGGGAUUGGAUGAAAUUCAGAUGUACAAAGAUGAAGAAACAUUGUUUCUAAAUCCAAGUAUAUCAAUACUACCUUGUUCAGAACUUAAAGAGAAAUCUUGAGUUUAUGGACUUCAGGGGGAGUAUGGUCACAAGGCUGAAACUUAAAGGAAUUGACGGAAGGGCACACCAGGAGUGGAGCCUGCGGCUUAAUUUGACUCAACACGGGAAAACUUACCAAGACCGAACAGUAGAAGGAAUGACAGAUUAAGAGUUCUUUCAUGAUUUAUUGGGUAGUGGUGCAUGGCCGUUCUUAGUUGGUGGAGUGAUUUGUCAGGUUAAUUCCGGUAACGAACGAGACUGAAACCUAUUAAU